AUUGAACGCUGGCGGCAUGCUUUACACAUGCAAGUCGAACGGUAACAGGCCUUCGGGUGCUGACGAGUGGCGCACGGGUGAGUAAUGCAUCGGAACGUGCCCAGAGGUGGGGGAUAACGCAGCGAAAGCUGUGCUAAUACCGCAUGUGAUCUGAGGAUGAAAGCGGGGGACCAGGCAGCAAUGUUUGGCCUCGCGCCUUUGGAGCGGCCGAUGUCAGAUUAGGUAGUUGGUGGGGUAAAGGCCUACCAAGCCGACGAUCUGUAGCUGGUCUGAGAGAACGACCAGCCACACUGGGACUGAGACACGGCCCAGACUCCUACGGGAGGCAGCAGUGGGGAAUUUUGGACAAUGGGCGCAAGCCUGAUCCAGCAAUGCCGCGUGCGGGAAGAAGGCCUUCGGGUUGUAAACCGCUUUUGUACGGAACGAAAAGGCUCUGGCUAAUACCUGGGGCUGAUGACGGUACCGUAAGAAUAAGCACCGGCUAACUACGUG
rnacentral:rRNA from 1 species